UACGGGGGGGGCAAGCGUUGUUCGGAAUUACUGGGCGUAAAGGGCUCGUAGGCGGCCAACUAAGUCGGACGUGAAAUCCCCAGGCUCAACCUGGGAACUGCGUCCGAUACUGGAUGGCUUGAAUCCGGGAGAGGGGUGCAGAAUUCCAGGUGUAGCGGUGAAAUGCGUAGAUAUCUGGAGGAACACCGGUGGCGAAGGCGGCAUCCUGGACCGAGAUUGACGCUGAUGCGCGAAAGCCAGGGGAGCAAACGGG
rnacentral:rRNA from 1 species